UCUUCGAAGGAGACUCUCUUUCUCCCUCUUCUCUACAAAAUUCGCUCUCUCGCCUUCGCUCCCAAUUUGCUACUUUCUCCGGCGCAUCGCUGCUGCCUCCGCCUCGGCCAUCGCCUCCGGGAGCCCUGUCGGCGGCUGGUGUUGAGCUAAUUGGGAAAACUGCGUGAAUGGACAUCUUAGUUUUGAUUUGAUUUGCUGUGCAGGCCGAUUAUAAAGACCCCACAUUUCAAGAGAAGUUUGCGUCGACGCUCGUUGAAGGGCUUAGGGAGUUGAAUCUUGAGGUGCGGAAUGGCAAUAUCCUCGCUUUGAAGGACUUCAUCGGCACUGACAAAGUUAGAGAGGUGCUGAAUCUUGACCGUGAAAUGGAAGAUCUUGCUAAGCCACUGAUUGCAGAGCAGUCACUUCCCAUGUUUGGCAGAGGAUACAACUAUGGUGCAGCUUUGGAAGGUUCUUUAAGUAAAGGAAGUGGUAUUAAUGCACAGUGAAGGAAUGCUUGCUGGUGAGAUGAAACAUCGUUCCCUGGCUCUAGUGGAUGACAGCCUACCUGUUGUAGUGAUUACUAUUCAUGAUGCUUGCUUCAGCAAGCAACAAUUAGUUAUUCAGAACCGAAUACCAGAAAAUAUUGUUAUUUUUCUGAAAAAUGACUUUUGAGAAAAUAUUUUUUGGAAAUGACCCAUUUUUCGCGAAAUGAACUAUCCUUAAAGUUGGAUGAAUUUUCUGAGAUAAAAAGGGUUGAGAUAAAAAGGGUUUAGGAUCCUUACCGAAAAAAAAACAAUUAGUUAUUCAGCAACUCUGUGCCAGUAAAUGACGCCUGAUUGUCAUGUGCUUGAGGGGGGAUGCUGUGGCUGUGUCUUUUGGUGGAGCGCGUAGGGUCAUUGAAUUUCCUCAGGUGGAGGACUGUCCUGAGCCUGUAGUCAAUAUAGUUCCUUUGCAGGUACGGGGUACUUAUAAUAAUUUCUUUAUGCUUAUUUAUCAAGAUAAAAUCUCUCUAUGCCUUGCCAAGAUGCAACAUUUUUUUUUUUUUUUUUAUGUUGUACUGAAUGUGCCAUAUCUUGCUGACUGCGAAGUUAUGAUGUAGAUGGGGUGGAACUGGAAGGGAGCAUUUAGUUUUCUGUUUGCUUGACUUGUUUUAUGCUCUUGGUGUUUGUUUUUGGAUUAAGGGUUCCAAAAUUCUCUCUAUAAUUUUGGUUUGGUUCUCAAACAGAUUCUUUUUUUAAGUCUCAACUAGCACAAACAAAACCAAUUUUAUUGAUUGAGCCGUAUCAUUAUGCUGUUCUAAUUAUUUUGUUCUUAUAAAGUACCUUAACAUUACUGUUUCCUCUUUUCAGAUAGUCUGUUUUGUUUUAGUGGAUUUGCUGAUUCGCUGGACAUGGCAUAAUUUUUCACUUUUGGGGUGCAGUUGGCGUAUCCAGCCUAAGAACCUCGCAAAAAUUGUGACAGCUGAGCACAAGCGAUUUCUUCCGAUUUUAUUCAUCUGGCAGCGAAAUGUAUUAUGUCAUGAGAAUAUAAAGCAAUUUUGCAGCAGAGUUUACAUUCUACUGAUCACAUUGAUUCACUAAUACUUGUAUUUUCUAAUCAAUUAGGAAAAACUGCCGUAACCCAACUUUUUGCACGUUCACAGCUUGUUAUGCAUUCACUUAUUAAUCUAUACCUUGAAGUUGUAAUCAUGGUGCCCGAUUGUUAAUUGACAUUCAAGAAUGAAUACAACUUAGUCUCAUCUUGGAUGCCAUGCAAAUUAGAGACAAUAUGUAGUUCCUUAGCGCCUUUAUUAAAAGUCAAGAAAAUGGUUAGUUAUCGUAUUUAGCAUUUUUUAGGGUGUGGCUAUCCUCGGGUAAUACCAUAUUUGGAGACUCCAUUUUUACAGUGGUCUUUGUUUGAAGUAUCUGUUGCUGCAUCAUUAGAUGCAAAAGGAGUGGUGAAGGGAAGGGGAAAAUUGCAUGCUUAUUCUAUAAAUGAAAAUAUCUUCAUGUCAACUCCCUCCAAAGUAGUUGUUCGUGGUCUCUUACUUUGACAUGUUGUUACCUGAGUUCAUUCUAUUAGUCAAUCGUGUUACAAGAUAAAAUGCGACUCUCACUAGAUACCAGACUGCGCUGUUAUUUUGUCUAACACACUGUUACGUGUUUCUUCCCUACUCAUUUUUCCCUUUUCAGGGUGUGGGGGUUGCGGGCACCCUGUGGGACAUUUGCAGCUCUGUCAACAUGGACCAAUUGCCACUUCUGGCACAAAGCGCAUAUCCAUGACUGUACAAGGCAAAAGUGGCAGUGCUCUUCCACCAUGUAGCCGGCGAGAACGGGACACUUGGACAGACAUAAGUACAAUCUUGUUUUGAACCCACACGUAAAGUUUUCGAGCAAGAAUUUGCAAGAGGACAAUGGAAAGCAAUACCGAAAACAACAAAUAGGGGAAAGGGCGAAAGGGGCCUUGGAACAACAAUGUUGCAAGGGAAGCCACUGAGAGCAAAGCAGCGAGCAUCAUGAGGAUGUGAAAUGCUCGGGCACAACAAGCGGGAGCGAAUGAUAGAUGAGCAGCAAGUGCAAAGGAGCUAUAGAACAGAAUACAGAAGAUGGCAACAGAGGUGGUAAAAGAGUGGGUGUCUAAAGGGGACUCUAGUUUCCCUUGAUAUUUCACCUCAAUGAAGUUGAGCAGCACGGGAACGAUAAAGGUGAGAACCGCGUGGUGAGAAGUGGAGGCAGGGAAACCUCGGACAUUUCUGUGGGGACAACUGCCGAGCGGCAUUGGAAACUGGAAUAAGUUUCCAGAUUAUCCUUUAUCCUAUGUACAAGAUGAUAUCAAAGUAAUCAGAUAGAAAGAUGGGCUAGUAGAACAGGGAAAAUACUAAUGCAUUAGAGUGGGAGCAAAUCUUGCCUUUUAUAAUGUGAGUGGUUGAGCACUGCACUAGUA